rnacentral:rRNA from 1 species
GAUGAACGCUGGCGGCGUGCUUAACACAUGCAAGUCGAACGGUGAACCCGGAGCUUGCUCUGUGGGAUCAGUGGCGAACGGGUGAGUAACACGUGAGCAACCUGCCCCUGACUCUGGGAUAAGCGCUGGAAACGGCGUCUAAUACUGGAUAUGUGACGUGACCGCAUGGUCUGCGUUUGGAAAGAUUUUUCGGUUGGGGAUGGGCUCGCGGCCUAUGAGCUUGUUGGUGAGGUAAUGGCUCACCAAGGCGUCGACGGGUAGCCGGCCUGAGAGGGGGACCGGCCACACUGGGACUGAGACACGGCCCAGACUCCUACGGGAGGCAGCAGUGGGGAAUAUUGCACAAUGGGCGCAAGCCUGAUGCAGCAACGCCGCGUGAGGGAUGACGGCCUUCGGGUUGUAAACCUCUUUUAGCAGGGAAGAAGCGAAAGUGACGGUACCUGCAGAAAAAGCGCCGGCUAACUACGUG